AGCUGGGCAGCGUUCCCACUGAGCAGGUCUGAACACUAGCGCUGGAGUUCAAAGAUGGCUGCUAGAGCUGCUCUGGAAUCAGGCAGACUGCUAAAACAAGACCAGCAGCUGACUGUGGCUCAGAUCAUGAACUCCUUAUUACCAAAUUCAGACUCAAAUUGAAGAAAGAAGGGAAAACCGCUAGACCAUUCAGCAGUUUUUAAAAAUUGGACGCAAAUCAAUAUAUCAUAGCUGACAUUAUCUCAGGUGGCUCUAGUGGUAAAGAACCUGCCUGCCAAUACAGGAGACAUAAGAGACGAGGGUUUGAACCUUGGAUCAGAAAGAUCCCUUGGAGGAGGAAAUGGCAACCCACUCCAAUAUUCUUACCUGGAG
ensembl:lncRNA